ACUACAAGAAAUAUGAGUAUUGGUAGCAGUUCACCGUAGCACGAAUUCACGAAGUGCUACUAAUACAGUCAAAAUUGGAUCAUAAUUCUAUGGUAGCACUAAAUUCGUGCUAGCAAAGAUUUUCAUUAAGCUGAGACCCAAAAAUGACUUUUAUAGCGGGAUAUUUAUGUUGGAGCCAAAACACUUAGCCAAAUUUUCUGAUUUUGGCGGAUCUACACUUUUUUUUUUUUGCUAAAGUCAUUUUUUCGUUCAUCACCCACCAAAAAAAUAAAUUAUUCUCAUCAAUCUCUCAUCGAUCUUCUGUUCUUUCUAUUUUCAGAUCUCAUCUCCCCUCUGUUCUUAAUCAUCUGUCUCUCUAUCUUACUCUCCUAACCUCACUCACACCCACACGAUUUCUCAACACAGACAUCUCUCUCUGUUUCACUCUCCUAGUCUCGUCUUCAUCUUGUUCGAGCACUGGUAUGUUGCAGAAAGUUCGACGAAUUCGACGGAUCUAACCGCGCUCGCACCGGAUUCGUGAGCCGUCUCGAAGUUCCCAAAGUAUCCGACUGUAACAGUCGUAAUCUCUCUCUCUCUCUCUCGUCCCUUUUCUCUCGAUAAGCCCUUAAUCGAAGGUCUUUAUUGAUUUGUUAUUUUGCAGAGAGCAAGUAUGAAAAGGUGACCUUGAAGCAUAACCACAUGUUCCUUAUAAAGGUUAAGGAGCACCAAGAAGGCAAAGGAUGCUAAGAAGCUCGGGCUUAACCGUAACCAUGUGUAAUCUCUGUCUCAGAUUGAGAUUGUAGUCAGCUUGACCCUUGACUCAAGCGUAAACCUUUCUCCGGUUUGUAUAAUCUCUGAUUGAGAUUUUAGAUGAAGGGUUUGCUGUUCUGAUUCUAUAACUCUCGAAAGAUCUCUUCUUUUGCUCUCUUGAUUAAGGAUUCGUAGAUUAUUGAACCAUGGAGACUCGGUGAUGGAUAUAAGGAGUUCUUUCUUGAUGCCCCAGACUCGGUGAAGGUAUAUACAUUGAUAACGAGAUGAUUUGUCUUUGAUAUAUUCAAUCAUAUCUUUGCUGUGGGAAUGUUUGUAGUUUACCUGCAGGGUCCAAACAAUCAAGGUCAUUGGCUUGUUAAAUCUAUUCAGUGUGUACUUGAUAUUCUAAAGAAUGCUGAUAGCAAUGCUGAGGUUACUUUGGAGUUUUGACUCCAUUACUCUUUGUUCUGUUUAAUUGAAUUGGCCCUUGUGUUCAGGGAUGCUGGUGUCUCAGCCAUUGCUUCCCACCUUACCCGUUCCAUGGCAGUCAGUACAUCGUUUGGUGGGGACUUCAAGGUAGUUCUUAAACUGAUUUUAUAUUGUGUCUAAAGUCUAUCUUUGCAAGAUUGCUAUUGACAUCAUCACUUUUUAUCGUAUCAGAUUUGGGUUUGCAACAGUGAGAAGAGCCAGAAGGCUAAAGACUCUAGCUGAAUAUGUCAUGCAGUUGGUUCUUAUAUGUAAUAUCUUUUAUAAGCAUUAGGAAUCUUAAACAUUCACAACUGAUUCACGGAUGGGAGUAAGACCACCUCCAUCGGAGGGUGUUAAUGAGAAGUUCUUAAAAAAAACCAAAAAAAUAAAUGAAAAAAGACAAAAAAGGAGAGAACCGAUGUCUAAAACAACAUCUUUAGGAUCGGUAAAACAACAUCUCUCUCUUCAUCUUCAUCAAUGUUUUUCUUUUUGGUUUGAGAAAUCUCUUGAUUGAUGUUGGUAGAUUAUGGGGUAAGACGACAAAUUGGGUCGGAUUUAGGGUUUCAGUGGUGUGGGAAGGGAGGCAUCUUGUAGAUGGAACCGUGGUUGCUAUCAAGGAGAUCGCCAUGUCGGAGAUUUUCAUCUUGAGGAAGAUCAAUCACCCCAACAUUAUCCACUUCAUCGACAUGAUCGAGGUUCGUCUUCUUUUUCUUUUUCCCAUUCGUCUUCGGGUAAGUCCAGACUCGACUUGACGUUUCCCCUGAUACCAACGUUGUUGAUUAAGACGUCGAUGUUUCCAAAGAUGUCCCAAGCUUGCUUGACUAAUUUUUGGAUGGUGGCUGCGUCUGAGGAAACGUCUAGCUCGAGAGGUGCGGCUAGUUUGGUUUUUGUUGGAGAGAAGGUGUUGUUGAUUUCGGAGCAGAGGGAUUGGAGACGGUCGAGACGGCGAGCCUGCGAUGAUCUUGCAGCCGGCUUUGGCUAGAUCGAGACAGAUCUCUCUUCCUUUACCGGAAGAAUCUCUGGUUAGAAGAACCACUUUGUCUUUAAGCUCGCACCAUGGCUCUAGUUGCUUCAACACCUAAUCAAUAAAAGACAGAAACAUAUGAAUGGUGUUACAAAAUGAAACACGAGAUCAUAUUGUUUCUCAGUGUGAAGCUGUCUUUUUCUCUGAAGUCUCCAGCUGGUUCGUGUGAAGAGGGAAUUCAUUUGUCUGUUACUGCAAUGAACUGUGCCAUCCUUUCACUAGUUUGGAAGCUGUUCGGAAGCACAUGGAAGCCAAAAGCCAGUGCAAAGUGCAUUACGGUGAUGAAGAAGAUGCAGAUCUAGAAGAGUCUGAACUCCUACUGUCAGAAAGCAGUGCCUUUCCAUGUCUGAACUCCUACUGUCAGAAAGCAGUGCCUUUGCAAUCAUUCAGAUUUCAGAAUUGAAAAAGAAAAUUUGGAUUUUUAUUAGCCUUUGGUUGACUGCAACUACACAUCUUUGUUUUCUACUACUUCAUGGAUCGCCUCUGCAUCUUAUGUACACCUGCCUUCCUUCACAUUGAUGCAGGUCUUGACCUUCUGCUUGGUCUUCUUCGUGAAGGGGAAGGUGUUGCAGCUCGUGUCCUGGAGAAUUUGGGUGUAGAUGCUAGCAACAUACGGACACAGGUAAUGCCGAGUCUGUUUUUUAGAAAUGUCGAGUCUGUUUGUUGUUGUCUUUGUUUGUCUCUCGUCUGAUCACGCUUUGUAAUUCAUCAAUCGUUUGGUUAAGUUAUAAAACUUGAACUUGUUGUUGUCUUGGUUUGUCUCUCGUAUCACACUUUGUAGUUCAUCAAACCUUUGGUUAAGUUAUAAAACUUGAACUUGUUGUUGUCUUGGUUUGUCUUGGUUCAUCAAACUUGUUAAAUCAUUCUACUUUAAAAAAAAAAUAUUUAAGAACCCCUAUAAGGUUCUCCCAUUGAAGGAGAAAAAAAUUAUUUGUACUAACAAAGGUUCUUAACUUCUCAAAUUACCUUAUUAACUAUUAAUUUAAUCAUAAGAACCUAUUAGAGGUUCUAAUGGAUGGACUUGCUCUAAUGUAUUACACGUUGGGGAGGUUUAUGUAUAUUUUGGUGCACUCUACAGCACUUGAGAUGGUUUAGUUUAUUAAUUAUCCAAGAACAUACAAGAUAUAUAAAUGUAUAUCUAAAAUACUAUUAAUCAUACUAUAAACCCUUAAUUUUUAAUAUUUCAUCAUAAAAUCCAAAGAUACCAACAAAUAAUAUGAUAUAAUUAAAAUCUAACACUAAUAAUAAACUAGAAAAUUUUUUUUGCUUCAAGUUCUAAACCCUAAACAUACCAUAAUUCCAACAUCCAACACUUACAAUAAACUUCAAAAUGAACAUUUGUAGAAAUAUAUAACUAAAACAAAAGCAUAUUACUUUAAAAAUAUAUAAAUUUUCAACAUGUAAUUUUAAAAAAAAAACAAAACCUAAACCUAAACCCUAAUGUUUGAUGUCAGUGUAAUACUUGGAAAGAUUCUAUGUAAGAUGUAUCUAUUAUGAAUUUAAUGCAAUAUAUGUUUUAGUUAUAAAUCAAUUUGCAAUUUGCAAUUUAUAAUUUAUAAAAUAUAAUCUUAAAUUUAAAUUCUAAAUCUCAAACACUAAAUCUUUAAUCUACCCCCUAUAUCUAAUACCCCAAACCUCAAACCUAUGAUAUAAAUUUAAAAACCAAACUCCAAUUAUAUUCAAAAACUCAAACCAUAUACUUGAUCCUAAAUCUUAACCAUGUACCUAAUAGAACUUAUAUCCAAUAUAUAAAAAAAUUUAAUAGUUAAAAUCCUAUUUUUAAAAAGAUUAAUUUCAUAUUCUAAAUAUAUACUUUAAACAAUCAUCCCCCAAACUUUAAACCCUGAAUGAUAAAUCUAAUCUCCAAAUUUAUUUAUUUUCAUUUUAACUCAAAAUCUUAAAUGUAAACUUUAAAUCUAUUUCCAAACUUUAAUUUCUGAUUUUCAACUUAAACCCUAAACUCUAUUUCAUAUACCUCAAUAUCAAUAACAAAGUUUAAAAUUUAAAAUUUAAAACUAUAAAUUUAAUUCUAAAGAUUAAUUUUUAACAUUUAAAUUGUGAAAUCUAAAUCUUAUUUUUUUCUCAAAAUUUUAUCAUAAAUAUUCUAUAUAUUAAACACACAAAAUAGAAAAGGAAAAAAUGGUGUUCCAAGAAAAAAAGAAUAAAAAAAGAAUUAACAAACCAUAUAGGUUUGUGGGGACUUUAAAUAUAGGUUUUGUGGGGACUUUAAAUAUAGGUUUUGGAAUUUAGACUUUGAGUAUAUAUUCCAAACCAUAUACAAUAACUCUAAAUCUUAUACAUCAAAUCAUAAAAUCCAAACAUCAAAUUUAACCUUUUCAAAUUUAAACACCAAAACCUAAACAUAGAUACUAAUCAAAAAAAUUCAAAUUGUAUUCUCAAAUUUUACUCUAAACCCCAAACCUAAGACUCCAAAUAAACUUUAAUCAUGAACAUUAACCUUAUAUUUAAAACUUUUAAAUUAGACUAAACUUUUAACUUUAAUCAUAGUCAUUAAUCAAAUCCUAUAUUAUAAAUCUAUUAUUUAAAUUUAAAUUCAUUUGUUUAAACCCCAUAUAAACCCAUUCAUAUUUAAGUGAAUUAGAAGCUUAUUUGAUGACCAAAGAAAAAGAAUUAACAGCUUAAUUCUGAUUGGACCAAAAAGUGAGGCGUGGAUCACCAUUUUUCGAAUCUCUGCCGUUGGUAAUAUUAAUCUUACGGCUCAGAUUAAUUCACUAUUAAUAUUUUAUGUUUGUUUUAUCUCUUUCUUCCUUACUUCCUCCUCCACACGAUUCUAUACUUCUUAUUUUCUUCUUCUGUACCUCUUCGAUCUCCUCAUCUAAUCUCAUCUCUCUUAUCCUCUUCCCAUCUCUCUUUCUCCUCUGCUCAUCUUUCAUUUACUUUUCUUCUUUCAAGCAAAUGGAUCUGAACGAAGAGGAUUACCACCGUCAUGCUUCUCACCACCAUGCUCCUUUCUAUUCGGUUUCGCCCUUCACCACCACCACCACCGCACGCUCGUCAACACCACCACCAGAAAGUGGAGGAGGCACAUGAUUGAUGAAUGAGGCACAGGAGAUUGAUGGAGGAGGUAGCAGUGGUGGGUCGUGAGCAGAGCCGGCUUGAAUGUUGAAGACGAAGAAGCUCGGUGAGGAGGCGGCAGGCGGCGGAGAAUAUACAUUAGGUUUAGAUUAGGGUUAGGUAUA